UACGGAGGGUGCAAGCGUUAUCCGGAUUUACUGGGUUUAAAGGGUGCGUAGGUGGGUCUGUAAGUCAGUGGUGAAAUCUCCGAGCUUAACUCGGAAACUGCCAUUGAUACUAUAGGUCUGAAUUAUCUGGAGGUAAGCGGAAUAUGUCAUGUAGCGGUGAAAUGCUUAGAUAUGACAUAGAACACCAAUUGCGAAGGCAGCUUACUACGGAUUGAUUGACACUGAGGCACGAAAGCGUGGGGAUCAAACAGG
rnacentral:rRNA from 1 species